AGCAGCCGCGGUAAUUCCAGCUCCAAUAGCGUAUAUUAAAGUUGUUGCAGUUAAAAGCUCGUAGUUGAAUUUCGGGAUUGGCGCAUCGGUCGUGCCUCACGGGGUAUGAACUGGUGCAGUCAAUUUCUCACCUUCUGGAGAACCGCGAUGUCCUUAAUUGGAUGCCGUGGGGAACCAGGACCUUUACUUUGAAAAAUUGAGUGUUUAAAGCAGGCAUUUUUGCUUGAAUACAUUAGCAUGGAAUAAUAAAAUAGGACGGCAUGGUUCUAUUUUGUUGGUUUCUAGGACCACCGUAAUGAUUAAUAGGGAUAGUUGGGGGCAUUAGUAUUCAAUUGUCAGAGGUGAAAUUCUUGGAUUUAUUGAAGACUAACUACUGCGAAAGCAUUUGCCAAGGAUGUUUUCAUUAAUCAAGAACGAAAGUUAGGGAUCGAAGACGAUCAGAUACCGUCGUAGUCUUAACCAUAAACUAUGCCGACUAGGAAUCAGACGAUGUUAAUUUUUAAUGUACUCGUUUGGCACC
rnacentral:misc_RNA from 1 species